rnacentral:rRNA from 3 species
UGACCUGCGGAAGGAUCAUUACCGUU